rnacentral:rRNA from 1 species
UGCCUACGGGGGGCAGCAGUCGGGAAUAUUGCGCAAUGGAGGAAACUCUGACGCAGUGACGCCGCGUGCAGGAAGAAGGUUUUCGGAUUGUAAACUGCUUUAGACAGGGAAGAAACAAGACAGUACCUGUAGAAUAAGCUCCGGCUAACUACGUGCCAGCAGCCGCGGUAAUACGUAGGGAGCAAGCGUUAUCCGGAUUUAUUGGGCGUAAAGCGAGUGCAGGCGGUUCAAUAAGUCUGAUUUGAAAGCCUUCGGCUCAACCGGAGAGAU